AGAGAGGGCUCCCGCGUCCGCGAACACCUCCGCGCUGCGGCGGCAAGAGAGGGCGAACGCCCCCACGCCCGCGGUGGCGGCCGCGGGGGGCGGCGGGUCGGUGCCGCAGCUGGUGCAGGAGAUCCAGGACAAGCUGGCGCGGGGGGCGGUGGAGUGCAUGAUCUGCUACGACAUGGUGCGCCGCUCCGCCCCCGUCUGGUCCUGCGGCAGCUGCUUCUCCAUCUUCCACCUCCCCUGCAUCCGCAAGUGGGCGCGCUCCCCGGCCUCCGUCUCUGACGCCUCCGCGCCGGCCUCCGACGCCUGGCGCUGCCCCGGCUGCCAGUCCGUGCAGGACGUCCGCGCCCGCGACAUCGCCUACACCUGCUUCUGCCGCCGCCGCCGCGACCCGCCCAACGACCUCUUCCUCACCCCGCACUCCUGCGGCGAGCCCUGCUCCAAGCCCCUCGGCAAGGCGGAUCCUGCGGCCAAGGGCGGUGACGAAGAUGAUGUCGCCACCAGGUGCCCGCACGUAUGCGUCCUGCAGUGCCACCCUGGGCCGUGCCCGCCCUGCAAGGCGUUUGCUCCGGAGCGCCCCUGUCCUUGCGGCAAGCAGUCUAUCACGCGUCGCUGCGCGGACUGGAGUACGCCUGUCACGUGUGGGCAGCGGUGCGAGAAGCUGCUGCCCUGCCGGAGGCACCGCUGCGAGAAGGUCUGCCACACCGGCCCCUGCGGUGACUGCGAGGUUAACUUCCCUGCACAGUGCUUCUGUGGCAAGAAAACAGAGACAUUGUUGUGCGGCGAGAUGGUGCUCAAAGGGAAGCUGUCGGACAAGGAUGGGGUGUUCUCUUGCAGUGAGGUUUGCGGCCACAAUCUGGCAUGUGGCAAUCAUGCCUGCCAGGAUGUUUGCCACCCAGGGCCGUGUGGGGAGUGCGAGCUUGUGCCAGGGAAGGUCACCACAUGCCAUUGUGGCAAGACAAGGCUGCAGGAGAAGAGGGCUAGCUGCUUGGACCCAAUCCCCACCUGUGACAAGGUAUGCGACAAGAGAUUGCCCUGUGGAGUGCAUAGGUGCAAGGUCACGUGUCACGAAGGAGAGUGUCCACCGUGCUUGGUGCGUGUCGAGCAGAGGUGCCGCUGUGGCUCAUCAGGCCAGAUGGUGGAGUGCUACAAGGUAUUGAAGGAAGAGUUCCGUUGCAACAAGCCUUGUGGCCGCAAGAAGAACUGCGGGAGGCACAGGUGCAGUGAGUGCUGUUGCCCGCUGUCGAAGCCAUUUGCUCAGCAUCAAGGUGACAGCAUGGAUCCCCAUUUCUGCCAGAUACCAUGUGGAAAGAAGCUCCGUUGUGGACAGCAUGGUUGCCAGCAUCUCUGCCACAGCGGUCACUGUGACCCUUGCCGCGAGACCAUAUUCCAUGAUCUCACUUGUGCCUGUGGCAGGACAUCUAUUCCGCCACCACAGCCUUGCGGCACACCAACUCCAUCAUGCCCACACCAGUGCAUGGUCCCUCAGCCUUGCGGGCAUCCAGCUUCGCAUCAAUGCCAUUUCGGGGACUGCCCACCUUGCGUUGUGCCAGUCACAAGAGAAUGUGUUGGGGGGCAUGUGAUGUUGAGGAACAUCCCUUGUGGUUCAAAGGAUAUCAGAUGCAACCAGCCCUGUGGAAAGAACCGCCAAUGUGGACUGCAUGCUUGUGCCAGGACUUGCCAUCCUGCCCCAUGUGAUCCACCGCCUGCAAAUGGAGAAGCUAGUUCAAGCUCUGGGGGCAGAGUUUCAUGUGGACAGUUAUGUGGUGUCCCAAGGAGGGAAUGCAAGCACACUUGCAAUGCGCCAUGCCACCCGUCGUCACCUUGCCCAGAUGUGAGAUGUGAACACCGUGUGACUAUUACCUGUUCUUGUGGCCGUAUCACUACAGCUGUGCCCUGCAGUGCUGGUGGAGCCUACAAUGGUGAUAGUGCGUUCGAUAUCUCCGUCAUGCAGCAGCUGCCAAUGCCUCUCCAACCAGUGGAAUCAAAUGGGAAGAGGGUUCCUCUUGGGCAGAGGAAACUUUGUUGUGACGAGGAGUGUGCAAAAAUGGAGAGGAAAAGGGUCCUUGCUGAAGCUUUUGACAUUACCCCGCCCAAUCUGGAUGCACUCCAUUUUGGUGAGAACUCAAAUGCGUCGGAUUUGCUUUCUGAUCUUUUCCGGCGUGAGCCAAAGUGGGUUCUGGCCAUAGAGGAGAGGUGCAAGUUCCUUGUCCUUGGGAAGACAAAGGGGAAUUCUUCAAGCAACAUGAAGUUCCAUGUCUUCUGUCACAUGAUGAAGGACAAGAGAGAUGCUAUCAGGCUCAUUGCAGAUAGGUGGAAGCUUUCUGUCCAGGCAGUUGGGUGGGAACCCAAGCGUUUUAUUACCGUCCAUGUCACACCCAAGUCCAAGGUUCCUGCUCGUGUUCUGGGCUCUAAGCCUGGUGUCCCUGUCUCGGCGUCCCAUCCUUACUUUGAUCCCAUGGUGGACAUGGAUCCGAGGCUCGUCGUUGCAAUGCUGGACCUGCCCAGGGAUGCUGAUGUUAGCUCUCUAGUUUUAAGGUUUGGUGGGGAGUGUGAAUUGGUUUGGCUGAAUGACAAGAAUGCCGCUGCAGUCUUCAGCGAUCCAGCUAGAGCAGCGACAGCGCUGAGGCGGCUGGAUUAUGGGUCUGCUUACCAGGGUGCUGCAAUGUUUUGCCCAAGCAGCAUCACUCAGGCUUCUGUGUCAAGCAAUGUGUGGGUCGGAGCACAGAGAGAUGGAGGGUUGGCUGCAAAGAGCAGUGCCAAUCCAUGGAAGGCCUCUCAAUCUGAGCCCGACCCAUCUGGAGACUGGACAGUGCUCAGUCAUGCUUCAGGGUCAGUGUGGAAACGUGGUGAUACUCCUGCUCAGGUCAUGGGUUCUUCAAACCGCUGGAAUGCUCUGGAGUCUGAUGCUGCAACCAGCUCUGGGCCAACCGACAAACGUAAGCCUCCUCUUCGCACUGAAACAGGAUCCAGCAGUUCUGCUCCCCGCGUUGGUGCUGGAUCCAGCGCAGCACCAAGUGCUGGGCAAUCGGUGAGCAAGCUGCAGCCUGACGUCGAAGUUGAAGACUGGGAAGAAUCGUGUGAAUGAUGAGACCGAGGGGUUAAUGUAUGGCAGCCAAAAUUGCCCUUCGACACGAUUCUCACCCUUUCUUUUGCAUCGACAAGAUCAUCCUUCUCCCAUGCUGACCAACUCCAUGACCUGGUCUGAAGACUUUGCUUGGUUAUUUCAACUGAUCAUCUGCGUGUUGUUAUGCCAGUGCAUUGUUGCUAGAUAUAGUGGGUGGUUGCGGAAUUAAAUAUUGAAUUGUUUCUAUGCCAUUCAACUACUUAAGUUAAUGCACUCAACGUAUGCCAGUCAGUUACUCUAAACUAGUGAUUCUGUUAUGCCUACGGUUCCAGUUGCUAUUCCGCUGUUUCAUUUUGAUGUCACACUUCAUGUUUUCAUUGGAAGUAAAAUGCGCAGCAAUAAAUGUUCUUCACCUUACAGCUCUUUAUGCUUAUAGCCCCCUUUAGAUGAACCAAAUGGGCUCUGUGAUAGCUCAUUAUCUUAAACUGAGAGUUAUCUUCCUAUACAAUGAACAGAAGGUGCAUCUUGUGCCACUUUGCAAAGUCAGUCAUAAGAACUUCCUUGCAGGUUCAGUCAUGGUUGUUUUGAACAAAGUAACACAUGCACUCUGUACUGUAUAAUUCAGAGGUGCCUAAUUGCAUGGCAUUAUUGAAAAAUUAUCUCUGAAGGGAAAUUACUAUCUUUCUGAUAAUGGGUUAGACACAAUCAUCUCGGCAGCUCCUUUGAGUUAGCUAGCUAAAUUUAAGUUAGCGCUCUCUUCUCAUUUCAUCUGGACUCAACCGUAUGUCCUCCCCAUAAUGGAUGCCAACUGUGAUCACUUUUUAGUUACUUAGGAGGUAAUCUUGGUGAAGGGGAACAGACCGCCACCAAUUCUGAUCUUUGUAAGAGUAUGAAGAAAGAUAAGCAAGCAACUGAUAACUCUGGAAGGCUAAAGAAGAAACAAUUUCCACUCUUUUAAUUGUAGGCCACUUGUGUUGAAAGAGCUUAGCUUCGGUGUAAGGAACUACAGGAUGGAAGAAGGCUUGACGUUAUCAAAAUAAUUAUUGUUUGGACUUGUUUGAUGCCCAUGAUUUACUGGAGAGUCAAUGUUAUAAGUCCAAGACUAACCCUCUUUGGUUGGAAAAAGGCUUGACAUUGUCAAAAUAUUUAGUGUUUGGACUUGUAUGAACCCCAUGAUUUACUGGAAGUCGAUGUUAUAAGUCCAAGCCUAACCUAACCCUCUUCGGUUGAAAAUGCAUGCCCUCAGAGCCUCAGAUUGAACCAUAUUGUGACUGUUUGUUUGAGAAAUGCCACUAAUACUAUAAAUGGCAUUAACCUAACCAACUCUCUUACUGAACUUGUUCUGUUAGACAAGAUGCCAUUUUGUGUUUUCUGGACCUUUUUAUAUUUAUGUUUCCUCGAUAAACUCUUGUCUAGCAAAGAGGUCCAAACAUUUAUGUUCAUUAUCUACUGUUUCAGUUAUUACUUGCUGACUCUCUUUGCUUCAACUCCAUUCAAGAUGAUCCAAGUCAGCGUGCCUGUCUCUGAUUUUCCUGCAAUGUCACUGCUUAUGCAACACACACAGGGUUUCUUAUCUACAUCUUCAGUGCAUAUCUUGUACUAUCCAUUGAUCUAUUUAUUUAUUUUUUCACAAAGUAGACGUUGCUCACUCAAGUAUUGUUGGCAGUCUGAAACGGUAAAUUUUCUGGAGAUACUUGUCCUUUAAAUUGUGCACAAGUUUCUGACUCAAGUAUUGUUGGCAGCCUGAAACUGUACCUCCAAUUUCUGAGCUAGGUUCAGUUGCUCUCAUUGAGCUGAUGUCUCUUGACAAUUUUGUGGACUCACUGAGCAUGAAGAAGAUUGGAAUAAAAGUUCUUUUACUCGAUCAGAGUUCCAUAUCAGGCGUUGGUAAUUGGAUUGCAGAUGAGGUGCUUUACCAGUUAUCCAUACAAAAAUUUGUGAGGCCUGCAUCAAAGGCAGCACUUGAACUUCGAUUUUGUUAUGGGCCUGGAAAUGUAUGGGUCCUGGGACGGAGGGUUGGACACCUGCCCUUGAUUGCUAGAGGCUUGAUUGUACAAGAGGGGAAGGAACCAUGAAUUUAUUAUAUUGUUUAUUACUAGCCUCGAACUAGUUAUUCAACAAAUUAUUACUAGCAAUGCCAUGCACCUGAAUCGAUCUGAUCUUAUCGUGAACAACUGAGGUUAUCACAACAUGGAGAUAAAGCUGCUCUGUUCCUUAGAUAAAACUACUGCAGCUUCUGCACUUGUUUUGCUGCACUGUUGCUUGGCUGUAACAGAGUUCAUGGUAUUCUUUGCACUCGAGAACCCAUCCAUUACUGAUUGCCUCAAGCUUAACAAGGGACAGAGCUGAAGCACUGCACCAAAGCAUCCAGGAGGUUAUUCUAACUUGACAUUGUUUUGAGUAAUUGUUGUAUGCAGCCUUGCAGAAUACCCAAGACACUAUUAGGUUGUGAAAUAUGCUGUCAAGCCGAUGCUGAUUGUGACCCGCUUUCGUGUGGAAUGAUUGUUUCACAAACGAUGGAGCAGCAAGCUUGGUAAAUCUGAUG
rnacentral:rRNA from 1 species